UAACAGUUCUCCAUUACUGCUAUUAGGCCCAACAGGGCAAGGGGUGAGAGUAAUUGUAGGAAUUAGAGCCAGGGAGAAAUGUGGUAAGAGGGUUACCUUGUAGGAGUAAACCCUUUCAACAAAGGCUGCAUGCGUCCUGCCAGCAAAGAGCCUAUACGGAGGGAGUCAGUGGAUACACACGCUAAUCUUACUCUUGUCCACCCUCUGAUUUCUUGACAGUGCCUGCUACUGGCUGAAAACAGAAGGCCAAGGCACCCACUGAUAAAAUUUGUACUGUUCUCCCUCUCGGCACAGAAAAGAGAAAAGAAGCAUGGAGAGUGGAUCUUCAGGGGCAAAUGGAAGAUGAUCAUCUCAGUUGAAUAAAGAAACAACCAAAAUGCUGAAUUUGAAGAUUUCAAAUGAGAAGCAGUUUCUUUCCCUCACAUUCAAGUGCAGAUCCUUGGGUUCAGCCAGUUCAAUCUCUCAGACCAGGUUUUCUUCAUUUCCCCUGCUUCACACGGUUAUCUUUGAUAAAGGAGAACCUGGUGAAAGUCAGCAUGUAAAUACCACCUCCUGA
rnacentral:lncRNA from 13 species